UGAAAACUCACAGCUUGUAAAUGAAAGCUCGUCAUCUUUUCAAGCCAUUGGAUGCAAUCAGAAAUGAAAAAAGUGAUUCAUAGUGUCGUGAUGUUAAGUGAAACCCGUUAGUAUUUAUUGUUGCCAUGUUUCGGCUGAGGACAUUUAAAGGGUUACGUGCUUCUCUGCGAGAUAUCAAGAGCUCGCACUCGGCACUGCACUUCCUUGUGUCCGCAGCAAAACACCCGCCAAGUGUGGAGUCAAUUGGAUGAAAAGGUUGUCGAGAAAAUCAAAAGACAGACAUACAAACAGGAAGCUCCUUCUCUUUUAGUUCGAUAUGUCAACGACUGGAUGGACUGCCAUUAAAUGUGGUUCAGACAUUCAGUGCAUUUAUAUGGACUACGGUCAUCUUUGAUCGGCCAGGACAGUUGGUGAGAAAAACUGACAAGGGUGUGCUUGCGCACAUACUAAAAUCUGCAUCAGAUGAGGUGAGGAAGGGGAGACAGUAAGGUCUGUCUCCAAAGAAUACUCUACCUGCCAUGUGACACUGAGCAGAUACUGCAAGAACUGCAAAACCUCAGUGAAAGAGGGUGAACACAAAUGCUCUGUGUGGGCUAACACUGCAUUCAAAGAGUCUUCAAUGUGCAGGAAGAGGAUGUCUUGACUUGUUACUUGACUAUGACAGCAGGCUUGUAUUUUAGACUCACUCUGUGAGAGGUACUAAGCAUCUGACAGGUACAGCUUAGCAAUCUAGACCUUAGUGGGAUCUAGUUAUUCGUGUGUGUAUCAGUUUUUUUGUAUUUGUGUAAUUCUUCACUCCUCAGCCCUUUUCCCGCUGGACAGAAAACCCAUGAACACCCACAAACAUCUGGCUUUUACCUUGAUCGGGAAAGGUUACAAUCAGCAUUCAUUCCUGGGACAAUGACUCUGCAGUGGUCAUGGGUAUUGAUUGGCUCCAGCUUCGAUCACCUCUGAUUAGCAGUGAUAGAAACAUGACAGUCGGGUGGACAUGCUAAUUUCAGCCCCUUUUCCAGCACGAUGUGAUGACAGGCCGCCACAAAAUAUAGUCCAUCUCCGUCCAAGCAGCACUCGAACAUCGUUCCAUAUUGGUGGCGCCAAGUUAAACGGAGAGAUUGAAGUAACAGAUACACGAAGAAGUAACUACCGUAACAAUUUCACUGGCCUCCAUGAGCUUUCUACUGUCUACUAACCCUGUUUCUGGUGCAUUCCUGACAUUGAAUGUGACACCGCAGUUAAAAAACAGAAAGGCUCAGUCGUCAACUGCAGAGCCAUGUACACAGUUCUGGUUUACUGGCAAUAGGGAAGAAGUCUAUCGCCUGUGUUAAGGGUUUUUCCCUACUUUCACAAAACAUACAUCUACACGCUAAUUUUGGUGGGUAAGGGGUAUUGUUGUUACAACUUACCAAUUUACCGUGGUAGUGGUGCAGGUUGUGACAGUGGAACUCCUUGUAUUUCAUGUCAGUUAAUGAAUACUGUAAUAUAGUUGAAGAUGGAAACACUGCUAUUUGUUGUAGACAAAUGAAGGUACUUUGAGUCAAAAUUUUAGAGCUUUAACACAAAAAUUCAGCGAGUUA